CCCUAACCCCUCCUCCUACCCAAGCCUCCCCCACUACCACCACCACCACCACCACCACUGGAAAAUUGUCUGGAUGACCAAGAGAAACAGAAAAUGAGAGUGUCUAUGUAUUUACACCACCACCACCACCACCACCACCACCAGAAGGGUCAGUGUGGUGUGCCGCAGUUCACCACAGCACCACCACCACCACCACUGCCACCCUCAGCUCACGAAAUGUUUAGAGAGAGAGAGUGUGUGUGUGUGUGUAUGUAUGUAUGUAUGUAUUUUAAAAUUGAAAGAAAUAUUGACAUGACUUCAAUUUUUUGGUGUUGAGGUGACAUGAGGUGUGGUGUUGACAUGACUGGUGUGACAAGGUGUAGUGGUGUUGACAUGUUGGUACUGACUUGGGGAAAUGGCUUGAUAAGGUGGUGUAAUUCUUGACAUGACUAACUGAAGUGAGUUUUAUCAUUGAAGUGUCAAAAGGCAAGAUUGACAUGAGUAAGGGUAAUUGUUGUGGAAUUGAGUUAAAUAUUGACAUGACAGGGUUGAAAAAUGCUUAGAAAUUGAUAUGACGCAUUUAAAACAGACUUAAGAAUUGACAUGACUGUGAAAAGAAUUGUCAACAUGCAAGAUUGACAUGACUAGAAGAGUAAUAAUUUAAAAAGCCUUAAAAAUUGACAUGACCAAAAAAGAAGUGAGUGUUUGUCAGUGGUGCCAGAAUGCAAUAUUGAUAUGACUAGAAGGGCCGUGAUUGAGGAAAGACUUAAGAGAUUGACAUGACAAGCUUAUACGAGUGACGUGACAGGUUGAGGUAAUGUCAGGUAAUGUCAGGUGCAAUAUUAAUAUGAUUAGAGUGAAGUGAUGUGUUUUAGAAUUGAGAUGAGGUGAGAUUUUAAAGGUAAUGAUUAAGUUAACAUGUUUUGAAGUGUCACAUGUUGAAAAUUUUGACAUGAGGUUGACAUGAGUUGAAAUGUACAUGGCAGCAAGUAUUGAAGUGAUAUGAUUGAGAUGAUUAAAUUUAGAUAUAUUUUGAGAUAUGACAUGUUAAAAUUUUGACAUGACAAGACUGAUAUGAGCUGAAAUGUAUGUAGCAGCAAGUACUGAAGUGAUAAAAUAUUGAGAUGAUAAAAUUUAGACAUGUUUUGAGGUGUCACAUGUUAGAAAUUUUGACAUGACAAGGUUGAUAUGAGUUGAAAUGAAUUAUAUAAGUGAUUAAUAUGCAGGAAUGUUAAAAUAUUGAGAUGAUUAAAUUUGACAUGUUUUGAAGUGUAACAUGUUAAAAAUUUUGGCAUGAGGUUGACAUGAGUUGAAAUGUAUGUGAUAUGAGUUGAAAUGUAUAUGGCAGCAAAUAUUGAGAUGAUUAGAAUUUAGACAUACUUUGAAGUGAUAUGUUAAGAAUUUUGAUAUGAUGAGAUUGACAUGAGUUGAAAUGCAUGUGAUGAGUUGGCAGCAAAUAUAGAAGUGAUUAAGAUCCAGGAAUGUUAGAAUAUUGAGAUGAUUAAAAUUUAGACAUGCUUUGAAGUGACAUGUUGAAAAAUUUUGAUAUGACAAUCGACAUGACUUAAAACAAAACACCAAACACUGAAAUGACACCAAAACUGGAAAAAAAACACCAAAAACACCCUUGAGUAUACAUUUUAACAUCUUGACAUGAGUUGACAUGACAUCACUGUACUACUAUUACCCACAAGUCCACAGUAAGAGGUAAGGUGAGGGUAGGAGGGUGACAAGGCAGUAACAUCCUAAUAAAACAUGACAAGGGGGUUGACAUGACAUGGUUGAAGUGACAGAUUGGUCAUGUCAUAGUAAUGGUCCAAUGUUAGAAUAGAGAGAGAGAGAUUGAGUGUAAAUAUUGUGUGUGUGUGCGUAUGCGUGUGUGUGUGUGUGUGUACAGCAGUAGUUUAAAAAGUGACAUGACCUACUUAUUGUGACAUGAACUUUGCAAUGUCAACCGAUAAGACUU